UCUUGGCCAGCCUUCUGAAAGGAAGAUUAAUCCAGGAUGGGAUCAUGAGUUCACAUGUCCGCAUGAUUAAAGGUAUUUUCCGGUAGACGAUGGGGAUGCGUUCCAUUAGAUAGUAGGCGGGGUAACGGCCCACCUAGUCAACGAUGGAUAGGGGUUCUGAGAGGAAGGUCCCCCACAUUGGAACUGAGACACGGUCCAAACUCCUACGGGAGGCAGCAGUGAGGAAUAUUGGUCAAUGGGCGAUGGCCUGAACCAGCCAAGUAGCGUGAAGGAUGACUGCCCUAUGGGUUGUAAACUUCUUUUAUAAAGGAAUAAAGUCGGGUAUGCAUACCCGUUUGCAUGUACUUUAUGAAUAAGGAUCGGCUAACUCCGUGCCAGCAGCCGCGGUAAUACGGAGGAUCCGAGCGUUAUCCGGAUUUAUUGGGUUUAAAGGGAGCGUAGAUGGAUGUUUAAGUCAGUUGUGAAAGUUUGCGGCUCAACCGUAAAAUUGCAGUUGAUACUGGGUGUCUUGAGUGCAGUUGAGGCAGGCGGAAUUCGUGGUGUAGCGGUGAAAUGCUUAGAUAUCACGAAGAACUCCGGUUGCGAAGGCAGCCUGCUAAGCUGCAACUGACAUUGAGGCUCGAAAGUGUGGGUAUCAAACAGGAUUAGAUACCCUGGUAGUCCACACGGUAAACGAUGAAUACUCGCUGUUUGCGAUAUACGGCAAGCGGCCAAGCGAAAGCGUUAAGUAUUCCACCUGGGGAGUACGCCGGCAACGGUGAAACUCAAAGGAAUUGACGGGGGCCCGCACAAGCGGAGGAACAUGUGGUUUAAUUCGAUGAUACGCGAGGAGCCUUACCCGGGCUUAAAUUGCACUCGAAUGAUCCGGAAACGGUUCAGCUAGCAAUAGCGAGUGUGAAGGUGCUGCAUGGUUGUCGUCAGCUCGCGCCGUGAGGUGCCGGCUUAAGUGCCAUAACGAGCGCAACCCUUGUUGUCAGUUACUAACAGGUGAUGCUGAGGACUCUGACAAGACUGCCAUCGUAAGAUGUGAGGAAGGUGGGGAUGACGUCAAAUCAGCACGGCCCUUACGUCCGGGGCUACACACGUGUUACAAUGGGGGGUACAGAGGGCCGCUACCACGCGAGUGGAUGCC
rnacentral:rRNA from 1 species